UAUUCAGAGUCUUGAAAGAGGCAACUGGGAUCUAACUGAAAGAAUUUUAGAGCUAGAAAACCGUUUCAGAGUACAUCUGGUUGAAAGAGAAAAGGCAGAGCGAAAAGCAGACCUUUUGGAGAAAAAGUUAGUAGGUGCUAACAAAUUCAUCCCUUAUAUGAAUGUAAAAGGACAAGAGGAUUCCUUGGACAGUUUCAAGACGAAGAGGACUGAAGGCCUUCAGCAGGAAAUUCAGAUGCUCACUCAGCGGCUGGAGCAGCUGCAUCAGCACUAUGAAGACGCUGCUCAAGAAUCAUCCCAAACUGAAGAAAAGUGUAAGGAGCAAAAAAAAUCCUUGAAACAUCUGGAAGGAAAAAUUGCUCUUAAAGACUUUUUUCA